CCAUCCCCGUUCGUCCCCAACUCGCCAAAUCCGCAGCCGCCGCAAGCACAGAGACCCUCUAGAUCGAGCGCGAGCUCCACCCCCGCCGCCGCGAUGAGGGCCAAGGUUCGUCUCGAUUCUGUUCCUCCGCCUCCGUUGCGAUAUCGUUUGCUGUUUCGAUGAUGCCAUGACAUUGCGUAGUAGAAUUAGAGAACUAGUGCUGUCCUAGGGUUUGGUUCUAGAAGCUGUGCUAUGCGUGGUUUCUGCUGAUUUUGUCUUCGAUUCGAACGGUUAUGCUAUGCUGUUCUCUAUGAUGACGAAACACAGAUGACGAGUCUGACGAAAUCCAUUCCAUUAAACCAUGGGGACAAUCGAGGCAUUUGUCUGAGAGAACACUGAUCUGCUAGAAAAAGAUUUGUUUCGUCUAUGUCCUGUUUUAAAUUUCGGUUUAUUUGUUCGCAAUUGUUUCGGCAGUACUGGCAUAAUGAGGAAAAUCCUUAUUUUUCUGAUAUAGUUGAUGAUAAAUACCUCCUACUCAUUCUGAAUGCCAGAACACUGCCUGUUAUCCCUGUUUUGUUUUGUUUUCUUUUUGAAAGAGGUACCUUGUUUUGUUGGUAGAUUAGAUAAGGUUUGUUGGCUUUUGCCAUGUUCACUCUAAUCGGACAGAUUCAGAUCUUUUUUUAGGAAUCCUUAACAUUUUUCGCAAAAAAGAGUAAUCCUUCAUUGCUUGAUGUUGGGAUAUGAUGAAGAACCUUUGGUCCGUGUUUCUGAUCAACCCUUGAUGAGUAAACCACUCCUAAAGAAUCUGAUCCCAAACAAUUUAUAAAAAUAAUUGUGCUUUGUUCUGUAUAUUUAUCUAAUCCGAUAAAUUUGCCUGACACGAAGGAUACUGAUGCAUCUUGGCUUGUUCUGAUGUUCAGUGGAAGAAGAAGAGAAUGAGGAGGCUCAAAAGGAAGCGCCGAAAGAUGAGGCAGAGAUCCAAGUAGGCUUGCCUGGAGGAUGAAGGGAACUGUCUGUUGCAUUGUGACCUAGGCUUGUUAGGAUAAACACCCCGACGUGCUUUGGUGUAGAUGCAGGAGAUGUUUACCUUCUUGGGGUCUAGUUUUAUUUUUAGCUCAUCAAAACUCUGGUCAUGUUCUAAGGCUGGGUUUUAUGUAAUGUGAGGAUAAUAUGUUGCUUUGUGACUGAGUUUAUGCAGUUAAACGAGAUUUCUUGCACUAAAAAAUAUACUUACUGCCUAUCUGUUACCCUUGUGAUCGGUAGUUGUUUCCGUUAUCUGUGCUGUUUUCUCACGCGCUGUGGCAAUUUUCAGAAUCUCAGGAUGUUUUGCAUUGCUCCAUGGUGUAGAUGGAAUAGUUGCUUUGUUUUUGGUUGAGGCAUGACUGCAUCACUUGUUGAUUACAGAGCAGAGAGCGCUGGUGUUUAUGAGUUACAUUGGAUUUGUAUUGCUGUUGAGUUGUUAAUUACUGGAGUUUUAUAUCUCGUAUAGCUCUGGUGUUCUACUUUGCUUCGAUAAAUGAUGCCAUUUUAGCAGGCGAUUCUAAUUCUGCUGUCAGCUCCUGAUAUGUCAUGUUGAGAUCACUCCAUUGAGAUUAUGUGAAUCUUGAACUGUGUGCAAUUCGAAAUUGUAGAAAUAAUUGACUGCUUUGGGAUGGGAUUUGGGUUUGCAAUAUGUGGAGGAACAACAUAGACCUGUCUGGUUCAAACAGGCGUCAGUGAAAAAGCCUUCAGUGAACUCGUGGCGUCGACUCGUGAACUCUGAAACAGAUGAGGUGCAGGUGCACAAUAGAGACGGCUGGCCUCGCACCUGCACCAGCACCACUCCCUUAUCCGCUGGGCCUAGCAUGAAUUUGUUCGUAACCGUUUAUAUUCCUGCCAGCCUGAUCCCUGCACUAGAACUGAGAGCUUCUCAACUCAUCCGUUAAUGGAGGCCAUAGUCAGGGCAGGUGUAUCUUCCUCGGCGCCGGCGCAGCUACGCCCGUGCCCGAUGCCGUGCCGCAACCGCUGCCUACCGUCCUCCGUGCGCCGUCCCGGACGCCGGGGAGUUGCCUGCUCGGCCUCGGCGGCCGACGCCGACGUCGUCGAUCUCUUCGAUGCCGCCAAGCUCACGGUAUGGUAGUGAGAUACCUCACCGUUCGUUCGUGAGCAAGCCGUGUAUGUUCUCCAACGAAUUUUUGUUCUCUGUAGGUGGACAGGUUCGUGCAGAGCGGCAUGGUGGUCGGGCUAGGCUCCGGCCCGGCGUCCGCCCUGGCGGUCCAGUACCUCGGCACGCGCCUCCGCCGGGGAUCUCUCACCGAAAUCGUCGCAGUAACCUCGUAAGUUCUGAAUUUCUGAUUGCCAUUGCAUGAUCUGUUCCUUCUUCGUCACAGACUCAGAGUAACCUAGUAACUCUGAAUUUCUGUUUUCUGAUUGCCACUGCAUGAUCUGUUCCUUCCUUUGUGCAUGAAAGUGCUUCUUUUCUCAUCAGACACUCGAAUCAGUUUGCAUCUAAUCAGCUCUUGGGAUUGAUUGACCAGCCAGGUCCGUGCUCAGUGCGAGCGAGGCAGACAAGGCCGGAAUACGGGCUAGCAGCUAUCAGGAAGGAACCCAAGUGAGUAUGCGCAGUGCUGUACGCCUGUAACCAUCAGCUGUAAACCUCUUCUUACAACACGGGAAGAACAGCAUCUGAAACUGUGCUCUGCUCACUGACGUAUAGAUUGAUUUUGCUUUCACUGAUGCUGAAGUAAUCGAAGAGGGCACGCUGGCUGCCGUCAUCGGGCGGCGCAAGACCGAGAGUGGAGAGCCCUCUUUCAUGGUGGAGAAGGUAUUUGACUACUUAAUCAAUGUCUUCAGAGUUAGCGCGUGCAUGGAUUUCUGAUGGAUAAUCAUUCGUAUGUAGGCAACAGUAAUAGAUGCAUUGCAUAUCUGAACCAUUUAUUUGAUUUCAACCAUGUUGUCCCAUGUGUUAUACAGGCAAUGGUUAAAUCAGCUGAUAAACUUGCCUUCAUCACUGGAAAUGACAAAUACCUGACAGGUGUUGAGGGUUCCAUUCCAGUCAUAGUUAAAAGUGUAAGGAAAAAAAAAUCCUGUUGCUUCAGAUAUGGUCAGUUUUAUACAAUGUUUAUGAAGAGAGGAACAGAUGAUUUCAGGGAAAUUGGAUAGACACUGCUGAAGAGAUCGACGAUUUGUUCCUAGGGGAUGCAGAGGUGCCCUCAUCCAUACGAAUACUCAAUAGUUAAAUUUUCAGAACUCGAAUACCUGCUGGACUGCUGAAACUGAAACGCUCAUGAAUGUUUGGUCACCAUUGUAUGCGAUUUUCUGAUCAGGUUUGGAGGAGGCCAUCAUUUGGGACUGCCGGUCCACUAGGGGGUGAUCACCCAUUGGUCACUAAGGAGGGUCAUCACGUUCUUGAUGUGAUCUUUACGACUCCAAUCCCAGAUCUAGGUAAGCUGAUGGAAGAUCAUUGCAACAAAGGGGCUAAACUCAUCUUGAGUCCAUUAGACCAUUUCUUGGGCCAAAGCUUUAGCUGGUUGCUUUGCCAUAUUUAUUGCAGGUCAGGUAGCAGAGAAGUUGGACAAAGUUGCUGGCGUUGUGGAUCAUGGGAUUAUUUGUAGCAACCAGUAAUUUUCUUAACGCAAGCAUACAGAAUAAUAUUUUUAAUUAAUUUUGUGGGGAUGGUUUACGGAGGUGUGUUUCAGGUUUUCUUUUUCCCCCAAAAAGGUGCUUCUCAGUGUUCUUACACGCUGCAUCUCCUGCCCUGCAGAUCGUAUGCGGUGAUUGCAUCCAAGGGGGAAGUGCAGGUUAUUGAGGAGAAACCCUCGGUGAUACCGUAGCGCUGCAGAAAUCUUCCAGUUGCCUGCAGAGGCGCCAUUUUUCUCCACACAUUCCGGAUAAGAGUACUUCCAGGUUGGCUGGAAAAUGCCUGAGAGUUAAAUAAUAUAGUAGCACCAAAUGUAAUCUCUUCAGUAUCCAACACUCUAUGCACCAGUAUGCAAAACCUUCCACUUCGUGUGCAAUGAAGAUCAACAAAUCUGCAGUCACAGACUGUUAACAUGCCGAAAACACCAUUUUCCAUGGCAGGUUACUGAUAACUAUGCUCGUAGGUCCAAAAAAAUUAGUUGGGCAGCAAAGCAAGUAUGCUUGACAGAAUGUCGACUGACAAAUACUAGCGCUUUGCAAUUUUCAUCCAGGAUACAUAAAAUGGCAGUGUUGAACCGCAGGACUUCCUCUUCCUGGCUUCUUGUCCCACAUGUCAUAGAAACAUUUUCUUGCCAAAAAUUUUCACAAAUGUGGCUUCAAUAUUGCUAGCCAAAAUGAUUUUGGCAGCCACAAGUCGCCUAAUGUUAAGGUUAGGCACCAACCAAACAGAAAGCUCCACCUCCCAGCUCCAAUCCAAGCAGCCGUCAGAGACAUACAGUACUAAUAAAACUUUUUUAGGGAAUGCUAUUGUUUCGCCCAAAAAGCAGAAACUGCAAGCACAAGUGCACAACAUGUUCAGUUCCCCAACUAUGCCUGAACUCUAAAACACACACAGAGAGAUCAAUACAAUUUCUUGAUUCAUAUGGCUCGUUCUUUCUAAUCAUGUGACACGGCAAAGUUCUUGCCGUUAUCCCGAAUAAAAAGAUAUAAUCCAUACGGCUGACAGAUAUCUCUAAAUAAACACAACUAGCAAUCAUAUUUACGCUGCAACCUCAGCACACAAGGAACGUCUGUAAGCAACUUGAAAAGAUGUGUCAUUAUCUCCUUACUCCUGCUUUUUCUCCAACACCACCUUCCUGCUGUCGAAGAAAAACAGUUUAGAACAAUUUAGAAGACGUGCAAGUUCCGUCAAGUUUAGCUAGAGACAUUAGUAGGUUUCAUGAAUUCAGCAGACAUAUACAAAUGAAGGGCGUGGUUGUAUCACGGUACAACAACCUGAGUAGCUACAGGACAUUUGGCCUGUUCGUUUCAGCUUAUUCAGCCGGUUUAUCAGCCACCAAACAGUAUUUUCCUUUCACAACAAAUCAGUCGUUUCAGCUUUUCAGCCGGCUUAUAAGCUGAAGCGAACAGGUCCGCCUUCAGGCAGUCACAUGAAGAUGCCACUCCUUGGCGUCUCGUUGCCCGGAGGAAUCACCAUGGCGAAGAAAUUGGAAGGCAGCUCCGUGAAAGUGAAGCCAUCCGAGCGUCACUACAUAAAACGAUUUGUAGGGCACCCCAUAUUUUAUUUUUAUAAGGAUAGGCGAAAUUGCUAUCCGCAUCUACAAAACGGAUCGCUAUUGUAGCAUACGACCUACCCGUGGAGAACCAUUUGUAGGGAUGGGCCACGGGACGACCCGCCCCUGGGGGGCGAUUUCGAUUUUCAUGGGCGGGCGAUGGGGUGUCCCGUCCAUGGAAAUCACAAUUUGCAAGGGGCGAGUGACGGUAUCACCCGCUCCCGAAAAUUAUUUCCAGUAACGAGUGAUGACGUGGGCCGCUUCUAGAAAUGGUACAAUUUCUUGAUGCAUGAAUGCGCCAUGAACAUCCUUAGCAGAACACUUUGCAUGGUGCCUCAUUGCCUUCUUGAAUGUGAAUAUGGCAAGAAACAAGUUCACAAAAAUAUAAACCGUAGCUCAAAAAAUAAGUGUCAUAUAUAAACCAACAUAUAAAUCAUGUCACAACUCAACAUAACCACAACCAAAUGAUAGAUCCCACAGAACAGAUAAGACAUGUCACAUUACAUAUAAAGUUUGUAGAUCACAACUCAACAUAACCAAAUAACAAAUUCCACGCAACAGAAACAAAACCAAGAUUCAUUGACAAAUAACACUACUACACUAUCCAUUUCUUCACUUAGCAUUAGCUACUCCUAAGGCAAAUAUCCCAAGCAUAACACCUACAAUCAAGGUCACAACAGUAGUGAUGACAGCCACGUUGCAUGCACCCCCAACAGUCUUUUUUUUCUGGCCACAACAGCCUUGUUUUCUUUCCCAAAAGAUGCUUCAACUCUCCCACUUCCAACUUUAGUUUAUUAACAUUCCCUUUCAUUUCUCCACACUGGAUCUUCAAUUCACACAUCUCCAUCUUCAGAUCACAAAUUGCCAAUUUUAUUUGACUUAUCUCAUUCAACAUGCCAUUGCUUGCCAACGGCUCAGGAGGCUGAAAUCCAGCACUUGACUGAGCUGCUGCUGUUCCUGGAGCAAUACCUGCCAAUUGAUAGUUUGGAGGCAUCGAAUGGGGAAAUUUUUUCCUUCAAAUGGUUCAAGUACUGAGGCUCAAACCAGUAUUGGUCAUAUAUUCUAGAAUCUCCCUACUUCAACAACACAAAUGCAACUCAACCCUUUGGUUCCAACACGGUUGAUUCCAUGAUGUUAGGGUUGCAAUCUUACCUUAGUGUUGUUGGGGUACUUGUAGAAGAUGUAGCCCCCAUUGCUCCUGAGCCAAAUCACCCUUAUUCCGCAUUUAUGGCAGUCGACGAGGGGAAGUUGCACGAACUGGUUGCGACUUGGUACCAACGAUGGGAAGCUGCUCGACAUAACCUUCACUUGCUUGUUCUCGACGGAUGUCGAGGAGCUAGAGGACAGUGAGAAGUUCAACAACUUGCCUUGCCCCCCUUGGCCUCCUUUGCGGCAGCGGAAGCUGUGGCGGCGUGCGGCAGCGGUGGAAGCUAUGGCGGUGUGGCUGCGACGGCGAAGGUGAAAGCAUACCGGCGGCAUGCCCGCAUGGAAGGAGGUGUCGUGGGAGGAGAGCGCCACGGUGGCGGCCCGAGCGCGGAAGGAGGCGCUGCGAAUGGAAGGCGCCGUGGGAGGAGGGAAGGAGGCGCGACGCUGCGGCAUGGCGGUGGAGGCGUCGCGGGGAGGCGCUGCGGCGGCGGAGCACGCGGGGGAGGGGAGCGGCGCCGGAGCGGGGGCGGAAGGAGGGGCCGGGGAAAUUUUGACAGCCUAACGGCGUCCCGCGGGCUUCUCCAAAAAUUUGGCUUAGUAACCGUGGGCGCCACUAUAUAUAUAGGGUGGCAUUAGCAGCACCUGGAAAUCAUUUCUUCAUUUUUUUUCUAAAAUGUAUUUUGGAGCUAUUAAAUGAUCUUAAAUGCAAAAGUUAUCAACUGCAAAGUUUAAUGUCUCGUUGAGCUCCACAAUUUUGAUAUAAAGUUUUUAUUUAUCCAAGAAGAAAUGAAAAUUUCAAAAAAUACAUUCACUAAACACAUUCACAUGUACUCACACAUAUACUCAUACAUUCACAUAUACUUUGCGGUGAAUAUGUGUGUUUAGUGGAUGUAUUUUUUUAAUACAAAAUAUUUUUAAUUUCAUCUCGGAUGGAUACAAACUUUAUAUCAAAAUUAUAGAGAUCAAUGAGAUAUUAAACUUUGCAGUUGACAACUUUUGCAUUUAAGAUCAUUUAAUAGCUCCAAAAUACAUUUUAGAAGAAAAAUAAAAAUGGAGAAAAUAUUUCCAGCCAUCACCCGCACUUGGAAAUCGUUUCUAGGGGCGGGUGGUGACGUCACCCGCCCCUGCUAAAUGGUAGCCUAUAUAUGGUGGCGCUCGCGGGGACUUAGCCAAAUUUUUUCUUGAAAAAUGUAGACGUUUAACAUUUGAAAUUAGGGUUCAACAUUUCGUUCAACUUUUUUUCGAAAAAAUGUUGGUGAACAUUUUUUUAUCCAACAUUUUUCCAGUUGAAAUGUUGAAUAGACCAUCAUCAGUUGGAUCUUGGUGGCUUUGAAAUGGAUCAGUUGGAUCUGGUGGCUUUGAAAUGGAACGGAACUGCGAAGCUAAGCUUUAUAUCAUCAGCUGGACCUUGGUGACUUUGAAACGGAACGGAACUCCGAAGCUAAGCUUUAGCUCAAACGCUUAUCCAUCUUACAGCCGGUAGACUAGUAGUAACAGGGUUCUCUAAAAAAAAUAAAAGUAGUAACAGGGGGAAUGUGCUUGAUAGGUGAUAGCAGCAUAAGAUCAUCUAGAAGUUUUUUCUCCAACAGAAAAGAUAAAGAGGUGCUGCCAGAUCCUUCACCGCAGCAACCGGCGGAGGUAACAAAUGACGCAUCAGCUGAAUGACUCAUACAACAAAUAGCACAUCGACUGAAGACACAUACAACGAAUAUGAGGAUGAGAACAAGGAACCUUUGCCAGCCUCAGGAGCUCAGGAUCAGUGAAUCCCUGACCCCGAGCGCUGCUGCAACCUGAGCAAGUCCAAAUUGCAAAUUCAACAGAUCAAUUUGAUUAAAUGACCACCAAUCCACCAUAUAUCCUCCAGCAAGCUGGUCACUAGUACUGUAUCAGAAGAUGUUUACAACAACCGAACAUCCUGGGGUUUCCAGACAACACCCAUUUUCAAGUUGCAUCUCGCUAUCAGAAACUGGCCUAAUAUACUCUUUCCCCAACAUGCAUAGUGCUUUUUUUUAAUAAUUUCUUCAACGAAAGGAGGACUUAAGUACAGCAGGGGCGACAGAACAGCUAGUAAGGUAGAGUAGAACAGCCAUUGAUAGCCCCCCUGUUGAAUUUGAUGCUGAGGUUUUGUCUAAUUGAAGAAACAGCAUUGCCACCUAACUAGAGAUUUUUUUCCUCCAGCUAAAGUCAAAAGUCCAAAAUUCAUACUCUGACACCACCUCUAUUCUGAAUCGCUCUCCAGGCUUAGAGCCUUCAAGCCUCUAGCCCUCUGCAUGAUGUUUCACUCAUGUAAGUAACAAGCAUUCAACGGAACAGAGGUAGAAUACAUGCUUCUUGAAGCAAAACAAAUUUAAUUGUAUCCAGGUUACCUUUUUUGAACUCUUCUUCUCUCGAACUUCAUAUCUCUCAUGUGACAGAUCUGACAACCAAGCUCCUGGGCUCACCAUCUGUGAUUAUACCGCAAAAUGAAUCAGACAACAGUGUAAAAAAACAGAGAGCACUAUAACAGCAACAAAGAAAACAGAAGUUGAAAUCAAGUUUUUGAGCUUGAUCAUUACAAGCAAGCACUUCUGCAUCAGCUUGGGUCUUUUCUUUGGCCUCUGUGGGAGCUUGCAGCCCUUCAUUGCCAUGAAAUCCUCCUCCUUCUCCUUGUUAGACAAUGCAAUGAAGAACCUUGGCAACGCAGUGGUUCCCUUGUCCUCUGUUAAACCACCAAAAUCGAACCCAUUCCCCUCAAAAGGAAAUGGAGAACCCCUAGUGGAGUAAUACCGGUCCUUCUCUGGGGAGAGUGCCAUUGACUGCUUGUACUCGUUCGCUGGUGAAUCCGAUUUCCUGCUCACAUAGUAAGGUAUUUUGAGCACUGUACUAGGGCACCUGCUGGUAUUGCAGCGGGCAAUUCGAAUAAAGCCUGAAUACACUGAAUCUACCUGCGUUGAAGGGUGCUUGGGCGGCGUGGCGAACGAAAUGGUGCAAUGUCAGCUCCGAGAAGAGGCCGGGUUGCACGGGGCACAACACGUCUAAGAACUUCAGAUGGCGAGGGUGAUGGUGAGCCGUCAUCGCGCGUCUUGACACAGCGCAGCCGCUUCCGGCUUCCCCAUUGCAGGAAGAGGUUUGGCUCGCUGGGAGACCUCGAGGGCCUUGAGUCCUUCACCUCCUGAUCCAUCCGUACCCUGAAAGUGAACGCAGGUAGUUAGGUACCGAGUAGAAACUUAAGUCAAUGGAGCAACUUCGGAUCAAAGUUCCAGUGGAUUUUGGGAAGAGAGGAGGAUGGGCACUCAAAUCAAAGCAAAAUCUUGCCCCGAAAUUCAUCAAAAAAAAAAUCCUGCCCAACACACGAAGCAAGUGCCCCCUCUCCAUCCAAACACCUAGUGCCCUCUUAUCUUACCAUCACCAGCUAGAAUGAGAAAAGAAAUAGAACUCGAUCUUAUCUGAGCACAUCUGCUUUGCACAAGGACUCUAGAAGGGGGAACGGAGCAUGCACUAGAACUAGAAAGCGGAGAAAAAUACUUGUUUUAUUCCAAAACAAAUCUAAUCCUUCUCUUCAAAAGGUAUCCGCUAGCUGAUACAAGCAAAUCAGACGCCCCCAAGCAGGGGCAGACCCAAGGAUGGCAAUCUUUACACAAAAAAACGAAGUUUGCCGGUUGUAAUACAUUUGCAACUUCGAAUUGGGUCAGAUCCGAAUACCAAUAGCUUUGGGGCGCUCAGUUUCGCACAGCGGGAAGGGACGAGAUGGGGCGGACGUACCGGGUGGGUGCUCGUCGGCGGCGAAGAGCCCGGCGAAGACGGGGCAAAGGGCGGCGCCGCUCGCCCAGUCGGCGCCGCAAGGCCACGAGAGAGAGGACAGGAAGGGGCAGGCAGGCAGACUGAGAGAGAGAGCUGCACGGGAGGAAAACAAAAGAUUAGGGGUGAAGGCGCACGCGGCACGCCGCAGUCAGCGACGCGCUCGGGCCGUGUCGAAGUAGUUCUCGUUCGGCCCAAGAAGGUCCCGUUCGAAUAAAAAGAAGCCUGGCCAUAUUUGCCGUGUUGGUUGUUUGUAGCACUCGGCCCAACGUUGGAUUGGGGCCUGGUCCGUUCGAACAAAAGCCUGAUCUGACCUGUGUGCGUGGGGGGCAUCUUCCAGCGUGAUCAGAAAUCUAGGGAAUCCAACGAAGGAGAAAAAAAAAUCAACCUUCACAUAUCCUAUAAAAACCACCCGGAGAUCUAGAGAAUUUACAAAUCACAGGGCAACUCUACCAUAUAUCACCAAAAAAAAUCUGAAAUUUAACUUAUCACCUAGCACUGCUACCACAUCACCACGCACCUGUACAACAUCACUUAGAGAGACAUGUAAUUUAACAUAUCGCGCUACCAUAUCAACAAGCAAUGCAAAUAUAACACAUUCACGGCGCGCGACACCAAACAAUCAUGUUAGGCAAGGAUCAUAGCAAUGAAUUACUUGGGAGACAUCUCCCAAAAAAAACACUUGUGGCCUGUUCGCUUCAGCUUAUAAGCCGGCUGAAAAGCUGAAACGGCUGAUUUGUUGUGAGAGGAAAACACUGUUUGGUGGCUGAUAAGCCGGCUGAAUAAGCUGAAGUGAACAGGCCGUUAGUUUUUAAUGUUUCACAGGUGCAUUAAGACUAAAUCGCUAUUAUAGAUAGGCAAUGAUUAUAGAUUGUAGUAAUAUCAUGAACUGCAAAAGCAAAACAAGCCACAUGAGAUAUCUUUGCCAAUUUGAACAUUGUCAUUAAUAUGUCACUAACCUAAUAAGUGCACAUCCAGCAUGGUACCCUGAUUCCAAUUCAUCCUUCACAACAAAAAAGAAGAAGCUUAGAGCAAUGAUAGGCUGAUAUCUAUGUCACGUUAGCUAGAGAAUUUCAAAACUUGUAAAUCAACCUAGCUAGAGAAAUAUAGAAGUAAGAUUUCACGAAUUCAAAAAGUAACUGAACAAUUCAAUCAAAUCAAGUGGUGCAGUGGUAAAACUUAUAAUUAACAAUUUGGGCAGCCGCAAGACUUUACUUCGGGUCAAUGACUAUUGGGUGAAGAUGUCUCUCAAAUUUCUUUGGCCUGGCAGUGAUAGGCGUCCAAACCAAUAGACUCUCGAGAUAGGCAGCUCAACAUUUACAGAUGUAAUCCUCCAUAGGAUCCUCCUUCUCUUAGGCUUCUUAUCACUACCAUCCACCAUCAGGAUGGAAAACUUGGGCUCCAUCGCCGGCAACUGUUCUUUCUUAAGCUUCACAGCCUCCAGAGAUCUUUGGCUAGGAACUUCUUAUAAUUCCUCCACAUAUUGGUUGCAGGAUCAAAGUUCCACACAGAGAUGUUGACAUCGCCAAGUGGCUAGGAAUGAUCAAUGUACACAAACUUGAUAAAGCUGACAACAUAGGCCAUCAUCCUGGUCAUGGGAAAUGCGUCUGAUAGCUCAAACCUGGGUUUCGUCCACCUCUCGUCAGGCGACCUAUGAACCCAAAAUCCACUACUGCACCACCGUCAGCUAGGGCCAAUUGCAGUGCGCGAGUCGCUUGUGCUACCGCUGCAGCUGCCCAGCGCAACUGCUCAGCUGCAAACCCCAAACAGCUGCAACCUGAUCACUAAAGCUAAUGACUUGCACAACAAACAAAUACAGAACCAAUAGUUUGUAUAGUAAAAGAACAGUCUCACUGUUCUGGUUGUUGUAUAGCUGCAGCAAGCUGUUCCGAGCACUGCCGACAUCGGCGGCGAACAAAUCCUGAAACGACUGCUCUGGGAGGUUCCACCUUAGCACAUGCUAUCGACACUGUUCGUCCGUAGGUGCAGGCAGUGACCAACACAGACAACAUCCUCCGUGCGCCGCUCCAUUUGCUUUCAUGCCGCAAAGCACGUCAUAGUUGACUCGGAUGUACAAGGCUGAGAUGAAGUCCGGGGUGGAGUCAAUGAGGCAGGCCUAGAGGGUGAGCCCCUCCACCACCCUCUGGCCAUGCACUUUGCAGCUGGAGGACUUCUUGAUCGGGCAGUUGAUGUUCGUCCACUCCUGCUGUAGCCACACAGGUUGCACGGGAGGCCUUUUUCAUAUCACGAAGCGCUUCAACUCGAACGAGGACGACACAUAUUUUGUCAGCGCGAGCCAUAGAUGGGGGAAAUACCGGGCUGUGGCCGCAACCACGGUUUUCGCACACGCGGCGGUGGCUAUGGCUAGCGCACGAAGUUGUACGGUGUAAGAGGAUGAGGGACCCACAUGCUUCGUUGCAUGCGGGAUUCACGUGGAUCCAACAGGUGGAUGGUGGAUGUAGUGUCAAAAAACAUAUUGUGACACGCGAAUACAACUUUUUUCCCAUUUUUCCAUUUAUACUCAAGUAAAUAUCAUUUAUGCGUAUAGGUCAUGUGCAUUAGUUGUUUAACAACAUUUGCAAAAAUUAUGACAAACAUUAUACAUAUAAAUUGUAUAUAUCAUAAAGGUUGUGCUACAAAAUUUAUUGUAAGGAAAAAUACGCAUGUAAAUUGUUUGUAUAAGUUAUGACUUUUUAAAAAUGAAAAUUUGAAGUUGUCCUUUAGAAUUGCACUUGGAAGUGCUACGCAUAAGUUAUGCAUUCCAUUAAAGUUGUGCUGAAAAAUUAUCUCAUAAGAAUUUUUAAUACGAAGUUAUGUGUAUAAGUUAUGAUAUUUCAAAAAAUAAAAAGUUGUUGGAAUUUAUUUUCCGAAAACUAGAAAGUUCGAAGAAGUGUAGUGGGCUGUCGGGAAUCAAGCAGCCCUCCUGGUGAGCGCGCUCCAUUAGUGUUGGUGCUGUUAUAUAUCAGCGAACGUGAUAAAAAAAAACCCCAUAGCAUUGGUGCUGCUAUAUAUCACCGAAGGUGAUAAAAAACCCACUGUUGCCUUCAUUUUCACCCAGCAGCUUCCUCCGCCUCGGCACAAUGAGUGGCCCACUCGAGGUCAUUCUCCUCCUUCGGUCCUUCCUCCCGAUGAACACAAUACCACCGCCUUCUUCCCCCGCGCCGCCAUCCUCCUCCAUCUCCGGUGGUAGGAGAUACCGGAUCCGCUGCCCCAUCGCCCUCUCCUCCAGUUCACACUCCUCUCUUCUCAUUCGCCCCCCGCACCAACCUCCUGCACUGUCUCCGACGGCUCCUGCCGUCAGAUUCGUCGCCACCGGCCGCCAUCGCUCUAACCCGGCUCUGCCGGGGAGCUCACCGCUAUGGCCCUACCUCCUCCACCGCCCAUCGAUUGUCCUCCACCACCUGCGGCUGGCGGCACCCCGCCGCCUCGCCACCACCUCCGGCUACCUUCCACCCAAGACUUCCCCUCUACAACCGGAAGCUCACCGGCGACCCUAACACCAUAGCAACCUGAAACCGAACCCUAAGCUCCUAACCCUAGCCAUGGCCUCAGCGGCUACGGGAGGAAGACGACGGCAACAUUGCUCGGCCAUCGUGGGCCGUCGUCCGCGCCUUCAUGCGACAACUUGCAAAUUUGUCGCCUUCACCCAUUAGCAUUGCCCGUGAUCAGAACAGUUGGCCAGGAAACCAGGUAUAACCACGCGGCAGCAUAUAGCAUACAGAUACUCGAGGACCAUCCCAACCAAAACGCGUGGACGUUUCGUUAGUUCAAACAUUCCUCCGAUCGCUCUAGCCUUCAGCACUCCGCUGGCUUUGAAAAGUGAACCCAGAUCGCUGACUACGAAUUUUGACGAACCCUGGACGAGUCAUUUCUUGACGCAAAGGAAGAGGACACACGGUCAGGCAGAAAAUCCUCUAGAAGAAGUCGAGACUCGUACGGCGCGUGCCCCCGGCCGAUUCAAAAAGUUCAUCUCCGUAUGACGCAGCCGGUCCGGUCCAAACACCGAAAGCAACGAGGCCGUCAACGCUUUCCAUCACCGUCUGGGCUUCGUUCCGUCCGACCGACGCCACACCUCACGUACUCCCUCAAGUCAUCAUCUGCGUCCCAGUCUGUAUCACAUGCUCUGCUGCAGCUGAACAGCCCUGCAUACUUGGUGGAGGGGAAAGGUAGGCGACGGAACCAACGCAACCUCUGACCUCUCUUUUCGGCAAACCAUGGCGUCGUGGCUGUUGCUCCGGAGGAUCCAAUCUGCUGGCCGUCUAUCCGGCGGCCAUGGCCGGCUGCUCAGCUUCAGGGGCGGCGAGGGGCUCUGCCGUCCUCUUCCCCCGGCGGGCGAGCCAUCAGUCUGCAGCAGUGCCUACGGGCAAAUCAAGACAGACACCAGGAUCACGGUUUGUUCCUUUCCUCCCUUUCUCAAGUUCAAUUCCAGAAUCAUAGGACCUAGUUAAAUUUCGGUUUUUCAUACCUUCCAAGAAGAAAUGCGUUCAGAUAAUUUCAUCUGGACCAUUUCUGUGUCUUCUUCUUUGCGUGUAUGUAUCCAUCGUUUCUGCUGAAAAGUCUUCUGAUGCUUAUUUCAAAAAAAAAAAACGGUCUUCUGAUGCUUGCUGCUUGCGAUAUACGUGCAGAACCAUGAGCCACAUCUCGACAGGUUUUCAGAUCCCCAGGUUGCUCAUGAGGACCGUCAGUUCAUUCAGUUCUUGGACAGGAUGCUGGAUGCGAUGAGGAACCCUCAAAGUCUUGCGCUAAUACAGCGUGGGAGGCUGGCAAGUGGGCUGAAAGCAUUGGAUGAUGACAUAUGAGCCAAGUUCCCUCUGCAGACAUACAAGAGCCGAAUAAACGUGAAAAUUUGUGUUGUGUAAAAUGAUCCUGCUGUGUUUUCUGACUAACAUUGCACAAGUUUAGUGUGUUGAGACUGAUGCUGUUUAGGUUCAUUCCUAGUGGAUGAGAACAUCAACUUACUUGAAGCAAUUUCAUCUCUGAAGUGGGAACUGUUUUUCAAUAUCAAAUUGCCAAUAAUCUAUAAUAAAUUGUAGGCUUACCUUUGCUCAAAUGUUUUGGCCAACUCAACGGCCAGUAGAAGCGAAGAAUACAUCAUCUGCACUCAUACUUGUGCCUAAGCUUUCAUGUUGGCAACAUGCUAGCAACUAGCACUUCAAGCAUCCGACAACAAUUAUCACAGGCUCACAGGAAGACAUCUGAACAUGCCAAGCUUCUCUUUGAAAAUGUCGAUAUCAAAUAAUAACUUUCCACAUUUUUUUCCUUUGGUCUUUCGCAUCUUUUAAUGCUUGAGAUCAGGUAGAUAUCCCUAAUUCCUUACUGGCUGCAUUGCAUAUGAUGCUUCAGAUGACAACAAAGGGUUGGCAAAAGAAUUAUGCUAUACAAAAUAAAGUAUUAAGUUUAAUUUAAAACUCGUACCUGGAGAAACAAAAAAGAUAAAUUAUGUUAAGGGGUAAAUUGAACCAAAUUGCAUAGUUUAGGGGUAAACUGAACCAAGAAAUAGUUUAGGGGUUAUCCAGACUUUGUCUAUAGUUGAGGGAAAUAAUUUAAAUUUUUUUCCUAAGUUUAAUAAGAAAGAAAGACAUAUAAACUAGGAACUGCAGAACUUGCACAGGAAAGUGUCACCAUUGGCCACUCAUGAAUCGAAUGAGCUUGCACACUGGUAUCAAGGCACCAUAUCACAUAUCAGUGCAAAAGAAAUGUAGGGACAACACACGGACCUGUCAGCAUGCCAUGGAACAAUUUUAAUUUCCGUAUAAGUGUUUGAACAGAAGAAAGAAAAAA
rnacentral:lncRNA from 1 species